CUCCGUUGAUGUAGAUGGAUGAGUUGAGUUGGCCAGUGGCAAUCUUCUCAGAGGCCAUCUACCUUCCAUCCUCAAUCAACUAAGAAAAUCAUCAGAACUGAAAAGGGUAAUCAACAUUUCAGAAAGCAGCUGAGAUCUGGAUCCAGCAAAUCUGCAAUUUUUACCAAUCCUUGGGAUGUUUUUUACAUGUGCUGAGGUACAUCAUUUGACAGAUGAGAAAAGGACCUAAGAAGGUCUCUUUGUCAGGAUCAUCAGGCCGGUACCCGUUGGUUGAUCCCAUCUCAAGAUUGAAGUACAAGAAUUCUGAAUUGAAACUUUGUCUCAGUGACAUUUUUCCUGCAAAGGCUGACCAAUGGUGGAGGGGAGGGCCACCUGAACUCUGACUGGCCUCAAUUUUAGAGCCUUCCGAGUUAAAGCACUAAAGCUGUGUUUGGGUUGGAAGUUGGCAGUAAGAGGAGGUGCAGAGGAAACAGAAGGAUAAGCUGGCUUCUGCCACUGUGAAUGCAUAUGUGUUUCUGCUUGUGUGUUUGUAUAUACUGCUGUGCAUGAGUGCUGACCUGGCCGAUGGUGAAUCAGGGAAAUUUGGGGACCAGAAACUACGUCUCUGAAAAUGACAGAGCAGAACAGGUAACAGAGACUCGUGUUCAGGGAUGUGUUAAAUGCUGGGCAGAAGUAUAACUUUUUCUAUGAAUACUUCAUUUCUGUGCCA
rnacentral:lncRNA from 1 species